AUUGAACGCUGGCGGAAUGCUUUACACAUGCAAGUCGAACGAUGAAGCCUAGCUUGCUAGGUCGAUUAGUGGCGAACGGGUGAGUAAUAUAUCGGAACGUAUCCAAUAAUGGGGGAUAACUAGUCGAAAGAUUGGCUAAUACCGCAUACGUCCUACGGGAGAAAGCUGGGGAUCGUAAGACCUGGCGUUAGUGGAGCGGCCGAUAUCUGAUUAGCUAGUUGGUGAGGUAAAGGCUCACCAAGGCGACGAUCAGUAGCUGGUCUGAGAGGACGACCAGCCACACUGGAACUGAGACACGGUCCAGACUCCUACGGGAGGCAGCAGUGGGGAAUUUUGGACAAUGGGCGUAAGCCUGAUCCAGCCAUUCCGCGUGAGUGAAGAAGGCCUUCGGGUUGUAAAGCUCUUUCGCAAGGGAAGAACACUUACUUAAUAACACUAUGUGAGGUUGACAGUACCUUGAUAAGAAGCACCGGCUAACUACGUGCCAGCAGCCGCCGUAAGAC
rnacentral:rRNA from 1 species